GGGUUGUACAGAAAAAUGACGGGGCUUUGAUAACUGGUCUACACCCAGUAGGUUGGGGGUUCGAGUCCCUCACCGCCCACCA
rnacentral:tRNA from 1 species